rnacentral:rRNA from 1 species
CAGCAGCCGCGGUAAUACAGAGGGUGCGAGCGUUAAUCGGAUUUACUGGGCGUAAAGCGCGCGUAGGUGGUUUGUUAAGUUGGAUGUGAAAGCCCCGGGCUCAACCUGGGAACUGCAUCCAAAACUGGCAAGCUAGAGUACGGUAGAGGGUGGUGGAAUUUCCUGUGUAGCGGUGAAAUGCGUAGAUAUAGGAAGGAACACCAGUGGCGAAGGCGACCACCUGGACUGAUACUGACACUGAGGUGCGAAAGCGUGGGGAGCAAACAGGAUUAGAUACCCCUGUAGUCCCUGUCUCUUAUAC